CUAACUUCUUCCAUAAAAAAAAAAAUUCUUCCAUCUACUCUCAUUCUUCCUAUUUUAUAACUUCUAAUUUCUUCACCUAGUCACUUCUUCGAGUGUAAUGUCCGAGGCUCAGGUUUCAGACCAAGAUUUGGAAUUCGGAUUCCCGACAUUCCCCUGAAUUCCCUACGACCUAACAACAUCAUCUUUAUUGUCUUAAAGGCUUAUUAGAGUGAAAGUCAUCCCCACAAACCAACACAAGUUCUUUCAACAUGUUUUGUCCUCACUCACAUGCAUCAUAGAAAAAUUCUUAAAAGGUCACCCAACAUAAAAAUUACUCCAAGCUAAGCACGUUUAGCUUUGGUGUUCUUAUAAUCGAACCAUUGAAAAAGAAGAUGCACCUUAUUAGUAUAUGUAGUAACUUUUAAUUCUUUUAAGUCUUUUUUAAGAUUACUUUCAUGUCCUCAGGAUCCCUUCUCAUUCAGAUGUGAUAUUGGUUUAUUCAUGCUUC